UACAGAGGUGCGAGCGUUAAUCGGAAUUACUGGGCGUAAAGCGCACGUAGGCGGACAUUUAAGUCAGGGGUGAAAUCCCAGAGCUCAACUCUGGAACUGCCUUUGAUACUGGGUGUCUUGAGUAUGGAAGAGGUGAGUGGAAUUCCGAGUGUAGAGGUGAAAUUCGUAGAUAUUCGGAGGAACACCAGUGGCGAAGGCGGCUCACUGGUCCAUUACUGACGCUGAGGUGCGAAAGCGUGGGGAGCAAACAGG
rnacentral:rRNA from 1 species